AAAGUCGUAACAAGGUUUCCGUAGGUGAACCUGCGGAAGGAUCAUUAACGAGUUAGGGUCCUUCUCGAGCCCGACCUCCCAACCCUUUGCUUACUUGACCUUUUGUUGCUUCGGCGGGCCCGUCUUAACCGACCGCCGGGGGUCUGACCCCUGGCCCGUGCCCGUCGAUGGCCCAAGUUAAAACUCUGAUUGAAUCGUGUUAUUUGUCUGAGUACUUAUUUAAUUAAAACAAAACUUUCAACAACGGAUCUCUUGGUUCUG
rnacentral:misc_RNA from 1 species